GUUGUACUGGGUGGUGUCGCGUAUCGCCGUACCUCGUGUGAGAUGAAUGGUGUCUCAGAACCAUAGCCCACACCUGUGUUGAUUAGAAUUGAGAGUUUACAUCCUGGUCUCCGGGAUUCUUCUUAGUAACUCCUCUGUCCACACUCCAGGUCCACUUCAGCACCAAAAUGCAUAUACACUGUCAUCUUCGUGCUCUAUCUCGGACCACAGAGACUGAGCGCCUGCUAGUCUAACAUAGGUCUGUAAGAGUCUUCACUCUAUUUUACGAAAGCUAUAAAUAAAUUUCUGAAUUCUCAAAAUAGGAGAAGGAGUUCUUAAAAGCUUCCAAUCGGCCGGGCGCGGUGGCUCACGCCCCUAAUCCCAGUACUUUGGAAGGCCGAGGCGGGCGGAUCACGA
rnacentral:lncRNA from 10 species